CCCUUGGCCUUGACAUACUAAGAACUUUCCAGAGAUGGAUUGGUGCCUUCGGGAACUUAGAUACAGGUGCUGCAUGGCUGUCGUCAGCUCGUGUCGUGAGAUGUUGGGUUAAGUCCGCAACGAGCGCAACCCUUUUCCUUAUUUGCCAGCGGGUAAUGCCGGGAACUUUAAGGAUACUGCCAGUGACAAACUGGAGGAAGGCGGGGACGACGUCAAGUCAUCAUGGCCCUUACGGCCAGGGCUACACACGUGCUACAAUGGUCGGUACAAAGGGUUGCUACCUCGCGAGAGGAUGCUAAUCUCAAAAAGCCGAUCGUAGUCCGGAUCGCAGUCUGCAACUCGACUGCGUGAAGUCGGAAUCGCUAGUAAUCGCGGAUCAGAAUGCCGCGGUGAAUACGUUCCCGGGCCUUGUACACACCGCCCGUCACACCAUGGGAGUUUGUUGCACCAGAAGUAGGUAGUCUAACCGCAAGGAGGACGCUUACCACGGUGUGGCCGAUGACUGGGGUGGAAGUCGUAACAAGGUAAGCGUAGAUGA
rnacentral:rRNA from 1 species